GACGAACGCUGGCGGCGCGCCUAACACAUGCAAGUCGAGCGAGAACCAGGGCUUCGGCCCUGGGGACAGCGGCGAACGGGUGAGUAACACGUGGAUAACCUGCCCUCGGCACCGGAAUAGCCCGAGGAAACUCGGAUUAAUGCCGGAUAGCCCCACAUCCCUGCGGGGAACGUGGGAAAAGGUAGCUUCGGCCUCUGGCCGAGGCUGGGUCCGCGGUGGAUUAGCUUGUUGGCGGGGUAACGGCCCACCAAGGCGACGAUCCAUAGCUGGUCUGAGAGGAUGAUCAGCCACACUGGGACUGAGACACGGCCCAGACUCCUACGGGAGGCAGCAGUGGGGAAUCUUGCGCAAUGGGCGAAAGCCUGACGCAGCGACGCCGCGUGCGGGAAGAAGGCCUUCGGGUUGUAAACCGCUUUCGGGAGGGACGAAGCCACUCGGGUGAAUAGCCCAGAGGGUGACGGUACCUCCAGAAGAAGCCCCGGCUAACUACGUGCCAGCCGCCGCAGUAACAC
rnacentral:rRNA from 1 species